rnacentral:rRNA from 1 species
UACGGGAGGCAGCAGUAGGGAAUCUUCCGCAAUGGACGAAAGUCUGACGGAGCAACGCCGCGUGAGUGAUGAAGGUUUUCGGAUCGUAAACUCUGUUGUUAGGGAAGAACAAGUACCGUUCGAAUAGGGCGGUACCUUGACGGUACCUAACCAGAAAGCCACGGCUAACUACGUGCCAGCAGCCGCGGUAAUACGUAGGUGGCAAGCGUUGUCCGGAAUUAUUGGGCGUAAAGGCCGCAGGCGGUUUCUUAAGUCUGAUGUGAAAGCCCCCGGCUCAACCGGGGAGGGUCAUUGGAAACUGGGGAACUUGAGUGCAGAAGAGGAGAGUGGAAUUCCACGUGUAGCGGUGAAAUGCGUAGAGAUGUGGAGGAACACCAGUGGCGAGGCGACUCUCUGGUCUGUACUGACGCUGAGGGCGAAAGCGUGGGGAGCGAACAGGAUUAGAUACCCUGGUAGUCCACGCCGUAAACGAUGAGUGCUAAGUGUUAGGGGUUUCCGCCCUUAGUGCUGCAGCAACGCAUUAAGCACUCCGCCUGGGGAUCGGUCGCAAGACUGAAACUCAAAGGAAUUGACGGGGGCCCGCACAAGCGGUGGAGCAUGUGGUUUAAUUCGAAGCAACGCGAAGAACCUUACCAGGUCUUGACAUCCUCUGACAACCUAGAGAUAGGCUCCCCUUCGGGGGCAGAGUGACAGGUGGUGCAUGGUUGUCGUCAGCUCGUGUCGUGAGAUGUUGGGUUAAGUCCCGCAACGAGCGCAACCCUUGAUCUUAGUUGCCAGCAUUCAGUUGGGCACUCUAAGGUGACUGCCGGUGACAAACCGGA